AACUCUUAGCGGUGGAUCACUCGGCUCGUGCGUCGAUGAAGAACGCAGCUAGCUGCGAGAACUAAUGUGAAUUGCAGGACACAUUGAUCAUCGACACUUCGAACGCACUUGCGGCCCCGGGUUCGUCCCGGGGCUACGCCUGUCUGAGCGUCG
ensembl:rRNA 5_8S_rRNA 5.8S ribosomal RNA